GAUGAACGCUGGCGGCGUGCCUAACACAUGCAAGUCGAACGGAGUUGUCACCAUGAAGUUUUCGGAUGGAUUGGUAACAACUUAGUGGCGGACGGGUGAGUAACGCGUGGGUAACCUGCCUCAUACUGGGGGAUAACAGCUGGAAACGGCUGCUAAAACCGCAUAAGAUCGCAUCACCGCAUGGUGAAGCGGUUAAAUAUCGAAAGAUAGGUAUGAGAUGGGCCCGCGUCUGAUUAGCUAGUUGGUGAGAUAAGAGCCCACCAAGGCGACGAUCAGUAGCCGGCUUGAGAGAGUGACCGGCCACAUUGGGACUGAGACACGGCCCAGACUCCUACGGGAGGCAGCAGUGGGGAAUAUUGCACAAUGGGCGAAAGCCUGAUGCAGCAACGCCGCGUGAGGGAUGACGGCCUUCGGGUUGUAAACCUCUUUCAGUAGGGAAGAAGCGAAAGUGACGGUACCUACAGAAGAAGCACCGGCUAACUACGUG
rnacentral:rRNA from 1 species